GGGAAGAUGGACAGAGUGGAGUGCUGGCUGGAAUGCCUGCUCAUAUGAUCUGGGAGUACGAUCCUAAACCAUCAUGUGAUCAUGAAAUAAAAGAAAAAGAGGGAAGCGAGGUCGUCCCAAGACAGGCCGUAGGGUUGGACCAGAUGUUCUGCCCCAUGAAGUCCUGGGACUCCAGCUGUUUCAACACAUCCCCUCACAACUCCUGGGUGUGGCCACAUUUUCCUGGUCUAAGAGGUUGCUGGUCCAUACCUGGCCCAGACAUCAUGAUGGAGAAGAAGAGAAGAGAGGACAGAAACAGCAUGCACGGCUUUACAUUAAGGAAGGAGCCAGAAUCUGUUACAUGGAAAUUCUCACUCACAUCCCGAUGACCGUCACUUAGCCACAUGGUCCCACGGGCCUGCACAGACAUCAGCUGAGAAAAUGUCACCUUUAUUCUAGAUGACCAUGG